rnacentral:rRNA from 1 species
CCUACGGGUGGCAGCAGUGAGGAAUAUUGGUCAAUGGACGAGAGUCUGAACCAGCCAAGUAGCGUGAAGGAUGACUGCCCUAUGGGUUGUAAACUUCUUUUAUCAGGGAAUAAAAUGAGGCACGUGUGCCUUUUUGCAUGUACCUUAUGAAAAAGCAUCGGCUAACUCCGUGCCAGCAGCCGCGGUAAUACGGAGGAUGCGAGCGUUAUCCGGAUUUCUUGGGUUUAAAGGGUGCGUAGGCGGGCUAUUAAGUCAGCGGUAAAAAUUUGGGGCUCAACCCCAUCCGGUCGUUGAAACUGGGGGCCUUGAGUGGGCGAGAAGUAGGCGGAAUGCGUGGUGUAGCGGUGAAAUGCAUAGAUAUCACGCAGAACUCCGAUUGCGAAGGCAGCCUUCCGGCGCCCUACUGACGCUGAGGCACGAAAGUGCGGGGAUCGAACAGGAUUAGAUACCCGUGUAGUC